rnacentral:rRNA from 1 species
GAUGAACGCUGGCGGCGUGCCUAAUACAUGCAAGUCGAGCGAACGGACGAGAAGCUUGCUUCUCUGAUGUUAGCGGCGGACGGGUGAGUAACACGUGGAUAACCUACCUAUAAGACUGGGAUAACUUCGGGAAACCGGAGCUAAUACCGGAUAAUAUUUUGAACCGCAUGGUUCAAAAGUGAAAGACGGUCUUGCUGUCACUUAUAGAUGGAUCCGCGCUGCAUUAGCUAGUUGGUAAGGUAACGGCUUACCAAGGCAACGAUGCAUAGCCGACCUGAGAGGGUGAUCGCCCCCACUGGAACUGUGAAUCGGUCCAGACUCCUACGGGAGGCAGCGGUAGGGAAUCUUCCGCACUGGGCGCAUGCCUGCCGGCGCAGCGCCGCGCGAGUGAUGAAGGUCUCCGGAUCGUAAAACUCUGUUAUUAGGGAAGCCCAUUCGCGUAAGUAACUGCGCACAUCUUGACGGUACCUAACCAGAAAGCCACGGCUAACUACGUG